AUUAAAGUAGUGUUUGCACAUUUUUAGACCUUUUAUUCUUGUUUUAGCUAUUAUAAUGUGCAUGUUUUAUGUCUGAGUAUUUAUUGGUACUAAAACUCAAGAUUUUGAGUCUACUUUCGAAAAACAACAAGAAACAGCCAGCUACAUCACACACUAUCACAGCCCUGGUUUUUGGUUUCCCCUGCCGGUUCCUGAAAGGACAAGGACUGUGUGCAGAGAAGUGAUGGCUGAGGCUGCUGGGGACUUUCCUGGACCAUGGCUGAUGUGUGACAGGUUGUUGCUGCCAGUUGUACAAUGCCUAGUUGAAGUUGAAACCACAACUUAUUAUCUCUUUCUGGUUCUCACAACCCUCACUGGCAUAUCCCUCUGAUGCACAGAAACCAUGCUCACGAAGGGUGGAGUGCUAAAAGGACUCCUAAAAGGUUUUCU